AUCAACAUACGCAAGACACCUUGUCAUUCCUGUGAUAUACCUUCAUGGAAUUGCUGGAUUAAAACUUAGGUAGAUUUUUGGGGCCAGCCUGGUUGUGUAGUAGUUAAGUUUGCAUGCUCUGCUUUGGUGGCCUGGGGUUCAAGGGUUCAGAUCCCAGGUGCCGAUCUCCAUACCACUCAUCAAGCCAUGCUGUGGCAGCAUCCCACAUAUAGAGUAGAGGAGGGUUGGCACAGAUGUUAGCUCAGGGACAAUCUUGCUCAAGCAAAAAAAAAAAAAAUUAUGCAGAUUUUUAAUCUUAACAGUUACAGUGAAACUGCUUCCUUCAAUUUACACUCCAUGAGCAGACCCAUUUCUCCACACCCUUGCCAACAGUAGGUAGUACCAAUCUCGGGAAGUUUUGUUUGUUAACCAGUCUCGUGGUUUGAAAAUAUCUUGUUUCAACUUGAGUUUCCCUGAUUACUUAGAAAACAAAACAUUUCCAUGUUUUUUGGCCAUUUGCUGAUCCUCUGUUGUAUGUUGCCUGUUCAUGUCAUAUUUGCCUACUUUUAUCAUUGAUUAUUUACCUUUUAGGGUUCCUCCCAAAACAAAAAUGAAAAGACACUUAUCCCAAUGAUUAUCGAUUAGUCCAUCUUUUCUCCACCCACUUGAAGUGCCAUGUUUAUCAUCUGCUAAGUUGUCCAUUUCUGGGCGGUGGGUUUAGGUGUCUCCCACCAACCACACUCUUCACUUUCCUUUGGUUUUGCGACCAAAAGGCAAGUCCCCCUCCUUUUUUUCCCCUCCUUGUCAUUGUCUUAUUCUUGUGCAUUUUCUGUUAUCAGUGAGUCUUAGAAUCAGUUUAUUUAGUUCCACUAAAAUUGUGUUGCUCUUUUGUUUUGGAUUGCGUUAAUUUAUACAUUAAUUUGAGGAUAAUAGGCUUCCUUAUAAUUAAUAUAAUUUUUCCCAUUAGUAUCAUGAUAGGCCUAAUUUUAUUAAUUAAAAUAUUUUAUAUUCUUGGAUAAAAUUUUCUUAACUUCCUUCGUAAAGGUUUUGCACACUCCAUAUUAGGCUUAUUCCUAGGUAUUUCAGAGAUUUUUAGUUUUGGUUGAGAGUUUUUCUACUUUUACGUAAAAAUGUAAAAGAUUAGAACAGCCAUGUAUCUCCUUUGUUUAGGAUGUCAUUUAUUAUACAGAAGUUUAAAAAAUACAGUCAAAUGCAGUCUUGUCGUGUUUUGUUUCCUUAUUUGAGAGCCCUUUUCCUAACCUGAAGUCAUGAUUUGUUGCUAGUGCCACUGAGUCGAUUCUGACUCCUAGUGACCCAGUGUAUGGCAGAGCGGAACUCUGCCUGGUCAUUUUGUGCUGGUCUCUCACCUUCUGGCGUGAUAUCAGACAAUGCUCUGCUGCUCUUCAUAGAGUUUUGGUGGCCGAAUGUUUCGAAGUGGGUGGCCAGGUCCAUCUUCCUAGUCCAUCUCUGGAAGCUCCACUGAAACCUGUCCACCAUGGGUGACCCUGCUGGUAUUUGAAAUACCAAUGGCAUAGCUUCAGCAUCACAGCAACAUGCAGCCGCCACAGUAUGACAGCUGAUUGACGGGUGGUGUGGCUCCCACACCAGGAAAGAAACCCAGGCUGUGGUGGUGGAAGCACCAGAUCUUAACCACUAGACCACCAGGGCUGGCUGAAAGUCAUGAUUACGCUCUCAUAAAUUCUCUUGUAAAUGUAGCGAUACUUAUUUUUCCUAGCACCUUUAAAAAAAAAAAUAGUUCAUCCUUUCCCUCCUGGUUUGUAAGGCCGCCUCUAUUGUUAUAUCCAAUUUCCAUGUAAUUAUGGGACUUUCUGGGCUCUAUUCUGUUAAAUUGGUCCACUUAUUUGCCAAUAACCCACUGUUUUAAUUAUCGUAGCUUUAUAACUGGCUAUUAUAUAUGGUAGAAUGAUACCCCUCAUCUUCUAAAAAUGCCUUAGUUCUUGAACAUUUGUUCCAUAUAAAUUUUGGGAUCAGCUUGUCACAUUUGGAUCUUGUUGUCUUUAAAAUUAUAAUGACUGUAUAGAUUGCUUGGGGAAAAUUGUUUAUGAUAUUGAGUUUCUCAUCUAUGAAUAGGGCAUAUCACUCCAUUUAUAAUACAUAUUUAUUAUAAAGACAAUUCUGUUGUGCUUUCCACUUAUAUAAUA
rnacentral:lncRNA from 1 species